GAAGGUCCGGUGGAAGGUCCAGCAGUAUUUGAUAAAUUUGUCAUCAUUUCUCCCCAAUAGCUGGAGGGGUUGCCGCCAACGACGCUGUCGUAAUUGAGUUUGGUGUCCAUGUUGUCGUUGUUGGGUCGUUAUGGUUGGGUUGUUUGUGGACAAUAUGGUUGUUCGAAUUAGGACAUUGAAUCGUUUUGGAAAAAAAUCAAUGGUUCCCGUGGUGUAAUAAAGUCAAACAAUGGUUGGGUGUUGUGGCGAUAAGAUGUUUGGGCGUUCAUAAGUGGGGGGCUAUGAUGAUAUGAGGUUGAAUCGUAUGAAUCAUUUGGGAUAUAAACAGAUGUGGUGGUUGCGUAUGGUUGUUGGUGGUUAGGGUUUGGUUCCUGAUUUUGAGUUUGAGUGUGUGGCAUGAAUUGGUUGCGAGGUUGGGUGUUU
rnacentral:lncRNA from 1 species